rnacentral:rRNA from 1 species
GAGUUUGAUCGUGGCUCAGAUUGAACGCUGGCGGCAUGCCUUACACAUGCAAGUCGAGCGGCAGCGCGGGGGCAACCCUGGCGGCGAGCGGCGAACGGGUGAGUAAUACAUCGGAACGUGUCCUGUCGUGGGGGAUAACCAGUCGAAAGAUUGGCUAAUACCGCAUGACCUCGUAAGAGAAAAGCGGGGGACCGUAAGGCCUCGCGCGACUGGAGCGGCCGAUGUCGGAUUAGCUAGUUGGCGGGGUAAAAGCCCACCAAGGCGACGAUCCGUAGCUGGUUUGAGAGAACGACCAGCCACACUGGGACUGAGACACGGCCCAGACUCCUACGGGAGGCAGCAGUGGGGAAUUUUGGACAAUGGGGGCAACCCUGAUCCAGCCAUGCCGCGUGUGUGAAGAAGGCCUUCGGUUGUAAG